UGAAAACAACACAUUCCCAUGGAAAAGACUGCACGGUUGAGUCACUACUAAUUAAAUGUGCUUAGGAGGCUGCACAACAAAAGGCAUGAUGAGGGUUUACUCGUUACAUCCUGGUACUUGUAGGUCAAAACAGCUAAGCACACAACAGAGUAAUCCUACUUCCCCUUGUGAGUGAAUUAAAAUAGCUGAUAGUUUGGACUUGCAAUAAGAGCUAAGAUGGAUUUCUGUUAGUUUCAUCAUGGUGUUAUUACCUGGUUUAAUAGUUUG
rnacentral:misc_RNA from 1 species